ACGACUCUCGGCAAUGGAUAUCUCGGCUCUCGCAUCGAUGAAGAACGUAGCGAAAUGCGAUACUUGGUGUAAAUUGUAGAAUCCCGUGAACCAUCGAGUCUUUGAACACAAGUUGCGUCCCAAGCCAUUAGGCCUAGGGCACGUCUGCCUGGGUAUCACGCAUCAUCGCCCCCAUCCAACCCCGAUUCCUCGGGACUCGGUUGGCCGCGGGCAGAAAUUGGCCUCCCGUGCACUCAUAGCCAGUAGCUGGCCUAAAUUCGAGUCUUAGAUGACAUAAUCGUCGCGACGAUCAGUGGUAAUGCUAUAAGCAACCUCGUUCGGAGUCGUGCCCAUUCAUCGAUCGAGACCUUAAACCCUUUCAGCAUCGCAUCGCGACCACAUGUCAGGCGAGAUUAGCUGUUGAGUUUAAGCAUAUCAAUAAGCAGAGGAAAAGAAACUUACCAGGAUUCCCUUAGUAAUGGCGAGCGAACCGGGAAAAGCCCAGCUUGAGAAUCGGGUGCCACUGGCGUUUGAGUUGUAGUCUGGAGAAGCAUCCUCAGCGGUGGAUCGGGACCAAGUCCCCUGGAAAGGGACGGCGAAGAGGGUGUUAGCCCCGUCGUGCCCAGACCUUAUCACACUACGAGGCGCUGUCUACGAGCCAAGUUGUUUGGGAAUGCAGCCCUAAUCGGGCGGUAAAUUUCGUCCAAGGCUAAAUACAGGCGAGAGACCGAUAGCGAACAAGUACCGCGAGGGAAAGAUGAAAAGGACUUUGAAAAGAGAGUCAAAGAGUGCUUGAAAUUGUUGGGAUGGAAGCGGAUGGGGGCCGGCGAUGUGCCUCAGGGCGUGCACCGAUGCCGGUCAUGGCGGCGGCCCAAGCUCGGGCCUUUGAUACUCCUGUGGAGAUGUCGUCGCCACAAUCAUGGGAUCCAGGACGCGCCAUCUCAGCAUGCUUCGGCACCUGUGUGCUUCGAGCGUCGGCCUGCGGGCUCCCCAUUCGGCCCAUCUUGAAACACGGACCAAGGAGUCUGACAUGUGUGCAAGUCAACGGGCUAGAAAACCAGUAAGGCGCAAGGAAGCUGAUUGGGAGGAUCCCUCACGGGUGCUCUACCGACCGACCUUGAUCUCCUGAGAAAGUUCGAUGAGAGUAUGCCUCUCGGGACCUAAAAGAUGGUGAACUAUGCCUGAGUAGGGCGAAGCCAGAGGAAACUCUAGUGGAGGCCCGUAGCGAUACUGACGUGCAAAUCGUUCGUCUGAAUUGCGUAUAGGGGCGAAAGACUAAUCGAACUAUCUAGUAGCUGGUUCCCUCUGAACUUUCCCUCAGGAUAGUUGGAGCCCUUAGCGAGUUCUACCGGGUAAAGCCAAUGAUUAGAGGCAUCGGGGGCACAACGCCCUCGACCUAUUCUCAAACUUUAAAUAGGUAGGACGGUGCGGCUGCUUCGAUUAAGACAGCAGGACGGUGGUCAUGGUAGUCGAAAUCUGCUAAGGAAUGUGUAACAACACACCUGCCGAAUCAACUAGCCCCGAAAAUGGAUGGCACUUAAGCGCACAACCAAUACCUGACCGUCGGGGCAAGGGCCAGGCCCCGAUUAGUAGGAAGGUACGGAGGUCACCGUAAAACCUGGGGUGCGAGCCCCGGCGGAGCGGCCGUCGGUGCAGAUCUUGGUUGUAGUAGCAAUUAUUCAAAUGAAAAAUUUGAAAGCCGAAGAGGAGAAAGGUUCCAUGCGAACGACACUUGCACAUGGGUUAGUCGAUCCUAAGAGACGGGGAAAGCCCGUCCGAUAGUGCGUUCAGCGCGAGCUUCAAAAGGGAAUAGGGUUAAAAUUCUUAAACCGAGACGCGGUGGUUGACGGCAACUUUAGGGAGUCUGGCAACGUCGGCGUGGGCCUCGAGAAGAGUUAUCUUUUCUGUUUAACGGCCUACCCACCCUGGAAAUAGCUUAGCCUAAGGUACGGUCCAGUGGCCGGAAGAGCACCGCACGUUGCGUGGUGCCUGGUCCACCCCCGGCGGCCCUUGAAAAUUUGGAGGACCGAGUGCCAUCCGCGCCCGGUCGUACUCAUAACCGCAUCAGGUUUCCAAGGUGAACAGCCUCUAGUCAACGGAACAAUGUAGGCAAGGGAAGUCAGCAAAAUGGAUCCGUAACCUCGAGAAAGGGAUUGGCUCUGAGGGCUGGGCACUGGGGUCCCAGUCUCGAACCCAUCGGCUGCAGGUGCACUACUCGAGCAGAUUUUGCGGCAAGAGCGGGUCGUCGCGUGCCGGCCGGGGACGGACUGGGAACGGCUCCCUCGGGGGCGUUCCCUGGGAGACGAACAGUCGACUUAGAACUGGUACGGACAAGGGGAAUCUGACUGUUUAAUUAAAACAAAGCAUUGAGAUGGUCCCUGCGGAUGUUCACGCAAUGUGAUUUCUGCCCAGUGCUCUGAAUGUCAAAGUAAAGAAAUACAACCAAGCGCGGGUAAACGACAAGAGUAACUAUGACUCUCUUAAGGUAGCCAAGUGCAUUGUUAUCUAAUUAGUGAUGCACGUGAAUGGAUUAACGAGAUUCCCACUGUCCCUGUCUACUAUCCAGCGAAACCACAGCCAAAGGAACGGGCUUGGCAGAAUCAGCGGGGAAAGAAGACCCUGUUGAGCUUGACUCUAGUCUGACUUUCUGAAAUGACUUGAGAGGUGUAGGAUAAGUGGGAGCUCUCAGGCGAAAUUGAAGUACCACUACUUUUAAUGUUAUUUUACUUAUUCCGUGAAUCGGAGGCGGGGCACGACCCCUCUUUUUGGACCCAAGGUCGGCUUUGGCCGGCCAAUCCGGGCAGAAGACAUUGUCAGGUGGAGAGUUUGGCUAGGGCGGUAACAGAAAUCUCGUGUGGAACAAAAGGGUAAAAGCUCGUUUGAUUCUGAUUUCCAGUACGAAUACGAACCGUGAAAGCGUGGCCUAUCGAUCCUUUAGACCUUCAGAAUUUGAAGCUAGAGGUGUCAGAAAAGUUACUACAGGGAUAACUGGCUUGUGGCAGCCAAGCGUUCAUAGCGACGUUACUUUUCGAUCCGUCGAUGUCGGCUCUUCCUAUCAUUGUGAAGCAGAAUUCACCAAGUGUUAGAUUGUUCACCCACCAAUAGGGAACGUGAGCUGGGUUUAGACCAUCUUGAGACAGGUUAGUUUUACCCUACUAAUGGCCGCGUCGCAAUAGUAAUUUAACCUAGGAUGGGAGGAACCGUUGAUUCGCACAAUUGGUUAUCGCGCUUGGUUAAAAAGCCAGUGGCGCGAAGCUACCGUGCACUGGAUUAUGACUGAACGCCUCUAAGUCAAAAUCCGGGCUAGAAGCAGCGCACGCGCCCGUCGCCCGAUUACCGAUCCGUAGUAGGGGCCUUUGGCCCCCAAGGGCAAGUGUCAUAGGUGUAGCGACCAUGGCGGAGAAGUCGCGGGCGCCUCCUUAGAGCGUAAUUCCAACCAAG
rnacentral:rRNA from 1 species